CUACGAGUUUGAUCAUGGCNCAGGAUGAAACGCUAGCGGCAGGCUUAAUACAUGCAAGUCGAGGGGCAGCACGAAUAGCAAUAUUUGGUGGCGACCGGCGCACGGGUGCGUAACACGUAUACAACCUACCUAUAACAGGGGGAUAGCCUUUCGAAAGAGAGAUUAAUACCCCGUAAUAAAUUGAGUGGCAUCUUUUUGAUAUUAAAAACUCCGGUGGUAUAAGAUGAGUGUGCGUCUGAUUAGCUAGUUGGUGGGGUAACGGCUCACCAAGGCAACGAUCAGUAGCUGGUCUGAGAGGAUGAUCAGCCACACGGGCACUGAGACACGGGCCCGACUCCUACGGGAGGCAGCAGUAGGGAAUAUUGGACAAUGGGCGCAAGCCUGAUCCAGCCAUCCCGCGUGAAGGAUUAAGGCCCUCUGGGUUGUAAACUUCUUUUCUUUGGGAAUAAAAACUCCGUUUCUACGGAGCUUGAAGGUACCAGAGGAAUAAGCACCGGCUAACUCCGUG
rnacentral:rRNA from 1 species